rnacentral:rRNA from 1 species
GACGAACGCUGGCGGCGUGCCUAAUACAUGCAAGUAGAACGCUGAAGGAGGAGCUUGCUUCUCCGGAUGAGUUGCGAACGGGUGAGUAACGCGUAGGUAACCUGCCUGGUAGCGGGGGAUAACUAUUGGAAACGAUAGCUAAUACCGCAUAACAGUAGAUGUUGCAUGACAUUUGCUUAAAAGGUGCAAUUGCAUCACUACCAGAUGGACCUGCGUUGUAUUAGCUAGUUGGUGGGGUAACGGCUCACCAAGGCGACGAUACAUAGCCGACCUGAGAGGGUGAUCGGCCACACUGGGACUGAGACACGGCCCAGACUCCUACGGGAGGCAGCAGUAGGGAAUCUUCGGCAAUGGACGGAAGUCUGACCGAGCAACGCCGCGUGAGUGAAGAAGGUUUUCGGAUCGUAAAGCUCUGUUGUAAGAGAAGAACGAGUGUGAGAGUGGAAAGUUCACACUGUGACGGUAUCUUACCAGAAAGGGACGGCUAACUACGUGCCAGCGGCCGCGGUAAUACGUAGGUCCCGAGCGUUGUCCGGAUUUAUUGGGCGUAAAGCGAGCGCAGGCGGUUAGAUAAGUCUGAAGUUAAAGGCUGUGGCUUAACCAUAGUACGCUUUGGAAACUGUUUAACUUGAGUGCAAGAGGGGAGAGUGGAAUUCCAUGUGUAGCGGUGAAAUGCGUAGAUAUAUGGAGGAACACCGGUGGCGAAAGCGGCUCUCUGGCUUGUAACUGACGCUGAGGCUCGAAAGCGUGGGGAGCAAACAGG